rnacentral:rRNA from 1 species
CCCUUAGAUGUUCUGGGCCGCACGCGCGCUACACUGAUGCAUUCAACAAGUUUUACCUUGGCCGAGAGGCCUGGGAAAUCUUUCAAAUAUGUAUCGUGAUAGGGAUAGAUUAUUGCAAUUAUUAAUCUUGAACGAGGAAUUCCUAGUAAAUGCAGAUCAUCAUUCUGCGUUGAUUACGUCCCUGCCCUUUGUACACACCGCCCGUCGCACCUACCGAUUGAAUGAUCCGGUGAAGCCUCGGGAUUGUGCCCAGAGAACUUUAUUGUGAUUUGGGUGUGAGAACUUGUCUAAACCUUAUCAUUUAGAGGAAGGUGGAGUCGUAACA